UGGCUUAGUUGGUUAAAGCGACGAACUAGCGAUUCGAAGACGUGGGUUCGAAUCCUAC
rnacentral:tRNA from 1 species